GCCGCGUGAGCGAAGAAGGCCUUCGGGUUGUAAAGCUCAGUCACUCGGGAAGAGCGGAUGCGGGAGGGAAUGCCCGUGUCGAGACGGUACCGAGAGAGGAAGCCCCGGCUAACUACGUGCCAGCAGCCGCGGUAAUACGUAGGGGGCAAGCGUUGUCCGGAAUCACUGGGCGUAAAGCGUGCGUAGGCGGUGACGCAAGUCUGGAGUGAAAGUCCAGGGCUCAACCCUGGGAAUGCUUUGGAAACUGCGUGACUUGAGUGCUGGAGAGGCAAGGGGAAUUCCACGUGUAGCGGUGAAAUGCGUAGAUAUGUGGAGGAAUACCAGUGGCGAAGGCGCCUUGCUGGACAGAGACUGACGCUGAGGCACGAAAGCGUGGGGAGCAAACAGGAUUAGAUACCCUGGUAGUCA
rnacentral:rRNA from 1 species